ensembl:lncRNA
GGAUGGCGGCGGGACAGGCGGGGCCGGUGGGGCUCGGGGCUGGAGCGACUGGAGGCGAGCAGGUAGGUCCCCAGGUGAACGUACCCUAGCGAACGCCUCGGCGAGAUGGAAGAGAGUGGGCGGCGGGCUCUUCUGGAAGUGUGGGGAAACUUUGGAAGUUUGGAGAGCUUUCUGUGUUCUCAGCGCUCAAACUAGCGUUUCACGCAAGGGACCCGGUGCGACUCCGGUUGGGGGAUGAUUCACCUCUUAAAACUGACUCAAAUUUCAGUUUUUAAAAACGUCUUGAGUUUUGAAGUUUGAAUGAUUUUUCAAAAUUUAACUUCGAGUUCUGAGUGUUUUUAAGUUUUGAAAAUGUAGCUUAACUUUGCAAAUACACGUUUUGGAAAUUUAGAUUUUAAAGAUUUCAGUUGUGACCUCAGUUUAAAACGUUUUGUUUACUUUAAAAUAUUAGUUUUCAAUUUGAUUUUGUAAAUGUCCAUAAAAUUUUAAUGAGCAGCAGUUAUUUCUCUUGUUUUCACAACGUUAUUGGGCGCCUGUCGUACAUUUGUAUUGACACGUGAUGCAUAUGGAUAUUAUAAACACCUGUUGUCAUGUGUACGCGCGGCCCCGACCGAGGCGACCCCGGGGCGGCGCGCUUCACUCUGCUCUCCCGGGACGUGAGUCGGCUGCGGGCGGCGCGGGGCCGCGGGGCCGGCGGUCCUUGCACCCCAGCUGAGGCCUCUCUCCUGCGGGUGGUGGUGCGGGCGCGGCCCGGCAGGGGGCGCCGUCCGCAAGCUCUUGGCACCGCGAUUUCUCCCACGCGCACCUGCUGCUGGGCGGACUGCAAAGACGAGCCGCCAGGAACGCGGACCACCGUGCAGCCGGCUUUCUGGAAGAGGCCCCGGACGAGUCAUAACGGAAAGGCCCAUGGGACCUCCAAAAUAAAACGAAAACCUUGGGCCAAGAGGUCCUUCCCGUUCUCCACGAGCACCAUGACCCUUUCCCAAACUCCAUGAAAGUCUUACAAGUUCAUCUGUGAGCACAAACGAGAACGUGCCCAACUCUUCAAGUUUUCUUACCUGCACUAAGGGUCCACGCAUGCGGCAUCAAUGACAACUUGUCAAAAGCUUAAGUCCUUCGAGCCGGAUUCGAACCAGCGACCUAAGGAUGACCACAACCGAACAUCUACAGUCCUCCGCUCUACCAACUGAGCUAUCGAAGGAUUGGUGGUAUGGUUUGUCAGAAUACCUUGAAUAAGGUGUAGCCCAGUGGUUUUAACCACCUUUUUAAAACAGGCAAACAUGAUUUUUUCUAGGGUGCUACAAAUGUUCUAAAACUGAUAGGGGUGGUGAUGAUAGAGAUAUAUUAAAAAAUUAAUACCCUUGAACACUUAAGCUUUGUGCUUUUUGCUGUCUUUUUUUUUUUUUUUAAGAUUUUUUAUUUAUUUAUCUGAGAGAGAGAGCACAAGCAGAGGGGCCAAAGGAGAAGCAGACUCCAGGCUCAGCAGGGAGCCUGAUGCGGGGCUCCAUCCAAGGACCCUGAGCUGAAGGCAGAUGCUUAACCAACUGAGCCACCCAGGCACCCCUGUUUUAGGUCAUUAAUAAAAGAAAACAACAUGACCCA